CAUAGGUUAAUGAGGCGAACCGGGGGAACUGAAACAUCUAAGUACCCCGAGGAAAAGAAAUCAACCGAGAUUCCCCCAGUAGCGGCGAGCGAACGGGGAGGAGCCCAGAGCCUGAAUCAGUGUGUGUGUUAGUGGAAGCGUCUGGAAAGGCGCGCGAUACAGGGUGACAGCCCCGUACACAAAAAUGCACAUAUUGUGAGCUCGAUGAGUAGGGCGGGACACGUGGUAUCCUGUCUGAAUAUGGGGGGACCAUCCUCCAAGGCUAAAUACUCCUGACUGACCGAUAGUGAACCAGUACCGUGAGGGAAAGGCGAAAAGAACCCCGGCGAGGGGAGUGAAAAAGAACCUGAAACCGUGUACGUACAAGCAGUGGGAGCCUCUUAAUGGGGUGACUGCGUACCUUUUGUAUAAUGGGUCAGCGACUUAUAUUCUGUAGCAAGGUUAACCGAAUAGGGGAGCCGAAGGGAAACCGAGUCUUAACUGGGCGUUAAGUUGCAGGGUAUAGACCCGAAACCCGGUGAUCUAGCCAUGGGCAGGUUGAAGGUUGGGUAACACUAACUGGAGGACCGAACCGACUAAUGUUGAAAAAUUAGCGGAUGACUUGUGGCUGGGGGUGAAAGGCCAAUCAAACCGGGAGAUAGCUGGUUCUCCCCGAAAGCUAUUUAGGUAGCGCCUCGUGAAUUCAUCUCCGGGGGUAGAGCACUGUUUCGGCAAGGGGGUCAUCCCGACUUACCAACCCGAUGCAAACUGCGAAUACCGGAGA
rnacentral:rRNA from 1 species